rnacentral:rRNA from 1 species
UUGGUAGUCUCUUUCUACUUGGAUACCCGUGGUAAUUCUAGAGCUAAUACAUGCAUCCAUACCCGACUUUGGGGAAAGGGUGUUUUUUUUUAAGUAUAAACCAACCCACGUUCGUCGUGGUUUGGUGAUUAUUAAUAAAAUCCCAGAUCAUCCGGUGUCUCCCGGUGGUGGUUAAUCCAUGUUUCUGCCCACCCAUCUUCUGAUGACAGUGUGUUGGACUCCCACGGUUUUAACGGGUAACAAAUUGUAAUGGCAGUAUUUUUCAGAAGAAGCCGGAUAAAAGGCUACCACCUCCAAGGAAGGAGGCAGGCGCGUAAAUUACCCACUCCUGACGACGGGAGGAAGUGACAACAAAAAACAAUGCCGGGCCUUUACUGGUCUGGCAAUUGAAAUGAGAACAAUUUAAAUCCCUUUUCCAAUAUCAAUUGGGGGGGAAGUCUGGU